GAUUCCGCAAAUAUCCUAUGCUUUGCUCCUGAGGGUCGGCCACAUCUCUCAAGGCACAGAUGUUCACUUUCCUGAAUGCCCGCAGGUUGAAUUUUCCAUAUCCAAGCAUCAAUACUGCGAAUGAAGCAUCGCCUCUUCAAAAUCCGGUGUCUCUGGAGUGCUUGAAGUUUCGCCCCCCGCAGGCCAUACAUAUCAAGGAUACAUUCC